UAACUCUGGUUUCCCUUCAAAACGCAUAAAUCUUUCGCCUUUUACUAAAGAUUUCCGUGGAGGGGAACAACUCAAUGAGUCUAAGGUUAUUUUUUAACGGCCCAUCUAAUGGGCU
rnacentral:snRNA from 1 species